rnacentral:rRNA from 1 species
UACGAAGGGGGCUAGCGUUGCUCGGAAUCACUGGGCGUAAAGCGCACGUAGGCGGCUUCUUAAGUCAGGGGUGAAAUCCUGGAGCUCAACUCCAGAACUGCCUUUGAUACUGAGAAGCUUGAGUCCGGGAGAGGUGAGUGGAACUGCGAGUGUAGAGGUGAAAUUCGUAGAUAUUAGGAAGAACACCAGUGGCGAAGGCGGCUCACUGGUCCGGUACUGACGCUGAGGUGCGAAAGCGUGGGGAGCAAACGGG